AACCUCCGCAAUGUGAGAAAUCGCGACGGGGGGAUCCCAAGUGCCAUUCUUAACGGGAUGGCUUUUCUUAAGUGUAAAAAGCUUUUGGAAUAAGAGCUGGGCAAGACCGGUGCCAGCCGCCGCGGUAACACCGGCAGCUCUAGUGGUAGCUGUUUUUAUUGGGCCUAAAGCGUUCGUAGCCGGUUUGAUAAGUCACUGGUGAAAUCCUGUAGCUUAACUGUGGGAAUUGCUGGUGAUACUGUUGAACUUGAGGUCGGGAGAGGUUAGCGGUACUCCCAGGGUAGAGGUGAAAUUCUGUAAUCCUGGGAGGACCACCUGUGGCGAAGGCGGCUAACUGGAACGAACCUGACGGUGAGGGACGAAAGCUAGGGGCGCGAACCGGAUUAGAUACCCGGGUAGUCCUAGCCGUAAACGAUGCGGACUUGGUGUUGGGAUGGCUUUGAGCCGCUCCGGUGCCGAAGGGAAGCUGUAAGUCCGCCGCUGGGAAGUACGGUCGCAAGACUGAAACUUAAAGGAAUU
rnacentral:rRNA from 1 species